rnacentral:misc_RNA from 1 species
AAAAUGUAAAUAGCCCUUCAAUGGCCCCAACGGCCCUCCAUUCAAUGGAUGCAGGACCGGUGGGGUCAAAUGAAUGAAGCUACCACAUCUUGUGCACUGUAACGUCUUUGGUGGUUGGGCGGUCUGUUUUCUUUGAAACUUUCCGUUCGUCAGCUUGGAUUUGUCAAAAAUCCUCGCCGUGGACACGCCACCAUGUGUUUUUUCAUACAUCUGUUUUAUGUUGUGUCUGACAUAUUUUUGUAUCAAUAUACAAA